rnacentral:rRNA from 1 species
UACAGAGGCCCCAAGCGUUACUCAGAAUCACUGGGCUUAAAGGGUGCGUAGGUGGCGCGUUAAGUCCGUUGUGAAAGCCCUGGGCUCAACCCAGGAACUGCUUCGGAUACUGGCGCGCUUGAGGCUAGUAGGGGUCACUAGAACUGACGGUGGAGCGGUGAAAUGCGUAGAUAUCGUCAGGAACGCCAAUGGUGAAGACAGGUGACUGGGCUAGUUCUGACACUGAGGCACGAAAGCGUGGGGAGCGAACGGG